rnacentral:lncRNA from 1 species
AUCGAGAACUGAAGACGUCGGUACUCAAGGAAGAUGCGAGCAGUCGUAAUCGCUCCCUAACCCGGGGCUUGCUGUCUCAUGAUCUUCUUGAUACAAGAACGACUUCUGUUCCUUUAUAUCCAUUUCCAUGGAUGUCGAUGGGGAAAAUGGGGAAAUAUCCCAGAUUUUCCACUUGGAUUCUCUCCAACAUUCAUCAUUAUUUCUUUUACUCUAAAUUUUUUCCACUUUCUCAUCAUUUUCAUCGAUACACUCUUUGUUAGGUGUUUAAUACGCUUCCUUAUGACCCAAUUUCCAUGGAAAUCGAUAGGAAAUUUAAAAAAUUAUGGUAGACUUACACUUUGAGAUCAUUUCCUUCAUUUUUUCUUAACUUGGAAACUAUCGGAUCAACUUGGAACAAUGAGAGAGAAAAAGAUCAUGGUUACUUGGCAGUAUACUCCCUUACCCCCCUUCCCCCCGCAGUUCAAGGAGUAAUUUAGAGAUGACCUUAAGGACUAUAAAAAAGGGACGUGAUCCGACUUGUUUUUGGAACUUAAUACUGAAGUAGUUCUCUUUUCAGAUGGACCUGGAUUACCCUAAAAUGGACGUGACUUACCUUGAGAUAGACGUGGAUUCUCCCCAGAUGGACUGGCUUACCUUACUAGAAGAACUCACCUUAAUUUGAUAAGGCAUAAGUCAUCCAAAACUCGUCAAUUUUGAUAGAUAGCUUUGUACCCAAGACCGAAAAAGAACAUGUCAAUGAAGGAUAAAGAAGGCAAAAGCAAGAGUGAAGAAUGCAGUAUAUAAAAUAUGAAUAAUGACAAAAAUUAAAAACAAAAAACCCCCCCCCGAUUCCAAAAGAAAUAAUUGACGUCAGAAUCCUAUGGUGGUAGAACCAAAGAACCUUAUCUGUUAUGGAAUUACUUACUGAGAGGAAGGAAUACCAAUCAAGCAAACAACUGAAGGCUCAAUCAAAGAACCAUCUGCAGUAGCAGCUUUGUACCUAUCGGACUCAAUUUGUUGCUAAGAGUCAUUUAGUCACCUGUUGCCCAUAUGUUUUGAAGACGGCCCUGGAUUUAAAAUUAGGACCCAAUUUUCAUAAAAAUAUGAAGGAAUUACACUUUGUCAUUGAAUUAUUCUUUAAAUUUAGUUUUUAAUUUAGAAAUUAUUGUAGUAAUGUAUUUUUUAUUUCAUUAUUUAUCAUUUAAUUUCCAUGGGAGUUGGAAAAUUAAGGAAAAUAUGGCGGAAUGCCACUUUGCUCCGGAAACUUUCUUUCUCGAUUAAUCGAUAUUUUCAUAGAUACAUCUUUUGUUCCAAAUUAAAUUCUCUUUCCAUAGAGACAAUUUCCCCGAGGAUCGGUGGGAAAGUAGGGAAGUUAUGCCAAAUCUUCUACUUGGCAUCUUCACUGGAAGUGGGGACUAUCGAGAACUAAAGACGUCGGUACUCAGUGAAGAUGAGGCGGGGGUAAUCGCUCCCUAACCCGGGGCUCACUGUCUCAAAAUCUUCCUGAUACAAGGACGACUUCUGUUCCUUUACAUCCAUUUCCAUGGAUGUCGAUGGGGGAAAUGGGGAAAUCAUCCCAGAUUUUCCACUUGGAUUCUCUCUCUCUCACAUUUCUUAAUAUUUCUCUUUUCCUCUCAAUUUCUCGUAAUUUUUCAUAGACACAUUUUUUGUCCCAAAUUAAAUUCUCUUUCCAUAGAGACAAUUUCCCCGAGGAUCGGUGGAAAAGUAGGGAAGUUAUGCCAAAUCUUCCACUUGGCAUCUUCACUGGAGUUGGGGACUAUCGAGAACUGAAGACGUCGGUACUCAGAGAAGGUGCGAGCAGUCGUAAUCGCUUCCUAACCCGGGGCUUGCUGUCUCAUGAUCUUCCUGAUACAAGGACGACUUCUGUUCCUUUACAACCAUUUCCAUGGAUGUCGAUGGGGGAAAUGGGGAAAUAUCCCAGAUUUUCCACUUGGAUUCUCUCUCUCUCACAUUUUUCAAUAUUUCUCUUUUCCUCUCAAUUUCUCGUAAUUUUUCAUAGA